GCACACCUUAUUUACAAAAGGAGAUUUAGAUUACUUGAUACCAUAAAUCUUGGCAUAGAGAAACUCAAAGCAAAUAUUUAUUCUACAAGGAUGGGUUAGCAGUGUUGAGGUAGUGAAAUUUACCUUGUACAACUUUUAAAAAGUUUAUUGAGUUGUUAAUGGAAUAGCAUUACCUGUGAUUAACAAAUGUUGAGAAACUGUUGGCAGGUUCCUGGUAAAUAUUUAACAACACUUAUGCAUCAGACAACAGAAAUGGAAUAAAAUUCCAAAAAAGCUAUUUUUUUUUUCAUUUGGCUUGAAGUCAGUAUGGAGAAGUUAUUUAAAAUAAGAUGUUUGUCCCAUGGAAUUGGCCCCUUUGUUAUCGUAUAUCCUUCAGGUUUAUGGGACAGCACUAGAGGAAAGUGACAGCCUCAGAGGACCUUCAGAUGGUGUCCUGGGUAGCUGAACUGUGGAAAGCAAAACCGUGGAUAAGGGGGAACUACUAUAUUGAAAAAUGUGCAAAAUAGAGAAGAUUUCAUUGAAGAAGACUGCUGUUUUUGGAAUGGGAAAUUAAGAUAAAAAUUGAAGCUCUCAUCUUCUAUAACAUAAUGAGUACUUUUGAGGCAUAACUGGAACAGUUAUCUACUGUGAUUCUUGCUGGGACCAAUAACCUUCUACAAAUACCAGCAUCAGCUCCCGUGAAAGGCAAAGAGCUGACAAGUAUACGGACUGCACCUCCACAUUAAGCUACCAGGAGAAACUUCCAAGUUACCCUUUUGUCACCUAUGCCCCAAAGGUGAACACUGUAAACUGCUACAGCAUGCAAUUUAGCCCAUGGAAUAACUCUGCUGAGAAACCACAGAGUCAAUCAGACUCAAAAUGCUUAAAAUCCUUCCUGCUUGGAGUUUUCUGUCUUCACAUCAAAGCAUUUCAUGCCCGUCAGCAACUUUUUAAUGCAUUUGCUCCUCAUUUGCACAAUUUCCAUUUAAAGACGUUCCUUGGCUGACUUCUCUGAUGAAGUUUCCUGCUUGCCGGGAGAGCAAUGCUAAUGCAGAAAUUACAAAGGGGGCUACACGUCCCUUUUCUGGAGGACCUGAUAUUUCAGAUAAUGUUCAACUUCAGUUUUGGAGAAGCCACUGUUCUUUGCACCAGGGGAAAAGAAACUGAUUUUCAGUGUGAGCAACCUGUGAAGAUAGAGACAAAUAUAAGUAAAUGAGAAUGUCAUUGAGGAAGAGAAUUGAAGACACAAUAGAAGCACUUACUGGACUCCAUACAGUAAUGUCAUAUCUUUGUUUGUUCUAACUUAAGCUUGCAUGUAUACAAUGGGGUUUAAGAAACUUGGCAAGAGUUUUUUUUUUUUUUCUUAAACUGAGUUAAACAGUCUUGACUGCCUUCUUUUAAUGAAAGGAAAAAUAAUACACAUAACAAUAGAUUUGAAAAGGAAGAGCCCAAAUCCCCAAGGGCAGUAAUCUUCUGGAAAAUGUUAAUAUUCAUGAGUUAUAGGAAAGUGAUGAGAGCCAACACAUCCCUUUUUUUUUUUUUUUUUUUUUUUGCUCCAAGUAAUCAAUUAUUUGCCUACAGCCAAACCAGGCCUUUUAAUAAAAUUAUUAUUACUUAAAAAGUAAAAAGAUAAAAUUAUUAUUUAGCAUUACAUAACUCAAAAAUAAACCCAGGGUUUAUAUUUUAUUAUCU
rnacentral:lncRNA from 10 species